GAACGCUGGCGGCAGGCCUAACACAUGCAAGUCGAGCGGAUGAGUGGAGCUUGCUCCAUGAUUCAGCGGCGGACGGGUGAGUAAUGCCUAGGAAUCUGCCUGGUAGUGGGGGACAACGUUUCGAAAGGAACGCUAAUACCGCAUACGUCCUACGGGAGAAAGCAGGGGGACCUUCGGGCCUUGCGUUAUCAGAUGAGCCUAGGUCGGAUUAGCUAGUAGGUGAGGUAAUGGCUCACCUAGGCGACGAUCCGUAACUGGUCUGAGAGGAUGAUCAGUCACACUGGAACUGAGACACGGUCCAGACUCCUACGGGAGGCAGCAGUGGGGAAUAUUGGACAAUGGGCGAAAGCCUGAUCCAGCCAUGCCGCGUGUGUGAAGAAGGUCUUCGGAUUGUAAAGCACUUUAAGUUGGGAGGAAGGGCAGUAAGUUAAUACCUUGCUGUUUGACGUUACCAACAGAAUAAGCACCGGCUAACUUCGUG
rnacentral:rRNA from 1 species